AAUCAGGCUCUUAUCAGAGCCACCUAAAUAUGUUAAAUUGACGAA
rfam:Xenorhabdus cabanillasii JM26, WGS project CBXE01000000 data, contig: XENCA_2134_Contig_81